AAAGUUGGUGACAUUUGUUAUCAUCUGUGAUGCUGUUCCUGUGCGCAGUAUUCCGUCACAUAUGUAUGAAGUGUGGAAAGUUGCUUGAUUCACGGAGGAACACGAAGCUCUUAAGCCGAUCAAGAAGGUGACAGCUGCAGUGCUGUGAGGGGAACGAGGUAGAGUCCUGACACGACGAAACUCCUCCUCUGACAAAAUGAUAAGGCCACCAGAAGUUGUCAAUACCUUCCCGUGACGAGUUUUCAGAUGCCGUUUAGUUGUCAACUUAAAGGGGCAACAUGAUUUUACUAUCACAAAGGUUGCAUCAUUCUAAAGUUUCUGCCUUACGUUCUUUUCUGAAAAUCCAAGCUGGGCCUGAGUUACAUUUCAUAAUCAAUGUCCUGCUACAAAGAAUUAUUAACAUUAAAUGUUAUGGGAGGCAAGUAGAACUUAAACUUGUUUUUGACAAAUAAAUACAAGGGAAAUAAAAAAGGGCAAUUCAAGAAGUAGAAGCAGCAAGUGUGAUUUAUUAAAAGUAAUAUCCCACAACAUUCCAGGAAUAUGUAUGAAAAUUUCAGAACGCAUGACCACAGAAUUAAAUCCUCAUAUUUUACCAGUAAAAUUAACACAUUUGUAAUGAUAUAAUAGAACUAUUUAGUGGAUAUAUUCAGCGAAGUAAGAGUGUGGUUCUGCACGAUCCUAAGAGGGAGAUGGCCUUCAGCUUUACUAGUAAAACUGAAGCUGUCUCGUUACAUGCCAUGGAAACAUUUUGGGGAAGAAGUGGCCCCACAGCCAACCUGAAAAUGAGGCUAGAAGAAAAAUCACUUGCCCCUGCCAGGGAUUGAAUCCUGGUCGUCAAGUUUAUAGUCAGGCUAGUCAGACACUGUACCAACUGACCUACCCUGGCUCUCUUCAAUUUUACGAUCUAAUGGAAAAUACAGAACAGUGCAUAACAUAUAUGUUGUCUUACUCAUACUUUAUUAAUGUGUAGCAUCUUACCACCAAGCCACUGGUUCUGAAGCAUGCCAUCAUAUUCAAAUCUGAAUAUUACAUAAUAUUGCAAUGUUUUCAAUCUGUACAAAAUACCAGAUAAUUAUGUAAUUUAGUAACAACAGAUUGCCCAAUGUGUGCUCUCAGUAAUAUCAAUGAGGUUAAUUAUUUUUUAAAGUACAGCCAUCAUUUAGUAUACUAAAAUGAAACCAUAACAUUUCAUUUUAGUAUAAUUAACAAUGGAUUUAGUUAAAAAAAAACAAUAUUGAAUGUAACACACUACUGUUAAAACCCUUUAGAGUAAUAUGAAUAAGAGUCUGACACUGCCAAGUUUAAUAAAAGUGAUUUAUGUUGUCAUAGCCUUCAGUGUUGAAAACAAACAUGCUCCAUGUAUAGAUGUGAUUAUUAAUUAUCAGGAGAUUGAUGAGGUGAACAUUAAAGACAUGAUAAUUUCACUACUUACACUCUGCUUUAAGUUCCAGCUGAUGCACAUGUUCCAAAAGAUGGGUCUUCAUUUGCUGUCUGGCUUUCCCCUCACUACCAAAACUUGAAAAUUGCUGAUGGCACUGGUCUGGUUCCAUAAAACAAGUGAAUGUAAAUAUCCUACGAAUUUCAUCACCAUCGAACUCGGAGAACAGCUUGAGCAAAUGAUUGGCUUUUAGGGAACGAAGAUAUUCUAGGUCCAUUGUAUUCCCUUCUCUGCUUCGACUGUUACAAGUCGCUCGUUGCUGUACACACAUAUAAAACAGCCACAUGUAACUUGAGAUAUUUAGAUAAUAAAUUAUAAUAGUGAUGACUUA